GUCCACGCCCUAAACGAUGCAGAUUUGGUGUUUCGAGUAUCGACCCUCGGAGUGCCGUAGCUAACGCGUUAAAUCUGCCGCCUGGGAAGUACGAUCGCAAUAUUAAAACUCAAAGGAAUAGACGGGGACUCGCACAAGCGGUGGAACAUGUGGUUUAAUUCGACGAUAAGCGAGGAACCUUACCAGGGCUUGAAAUGUGUACUGACGGGUGUGGGAAACCAUGCCCUUCUCUCAAGGACAGUACACGCAGGUGCUGCAUGGUUGUCGU
rnacentral:rRNA from 1 species